rnacentral:lncRNA from 1 species
UCCUGUCUGACAAAUGGUUUAAUUCAUUCUGGCAUGUUUUGAACUUUUUGUUCUUGUUACAGGGUUUCUUUUGGUUUGGUUUUGUUCUUUUUNNNNNNNNNNNNNNNNNNNNNNNNNNCCCCCCCCCCCCCCCCCCCAAUCAGGCUUCAGUAUCCUGCUUCUGUGCAAGUUGCUUUCAAUAUUCUAUUAAUUAACGAGACUGAACAUUUUAAAAUAAAUUAGUUAUUUUUAAGCACUUUUUUCUUUUUCUGAAAAUAAGCCUAAUGCAAGUUCUGGAACCUCUUUAAAAACACAAAAUGCAGAUAAAAUCCCAACCUCAACUCCUAUCUAGUUCAGAGAGUAUUCCAUACUAGUGCCUGCAAAGGCCAAGAUUCUGGAAAAGGUGUAAAUAGUGUGACAUGUUCAGUGCAUGGUUGUUUGAACAGGGCUUGUUAUUGUCAAAAAAAAAAAAAAAAAAAAAAAAAAAAAAAAAAAAAAAAAAAAAAAAAAAAAAAAAAAAAAAAAAAAAAAUUAAAUCACCUCAUCAUCUCUGCCACUCAAUUUGGGUUGUUAAAAAGCCUCGACUUAGUGGGUUAGGGAUCACCAGCACACCAGAAUCCUUUGCAGAGAGGAGCACAGCCAUGAUUUGUACACCCAUUGUGUGUCACAGGGGCUCUGGGGGUGGCAGCCAUGCAGAACAGCAGCCACAGCACAGCCCCAAAACCAGACACUGUGGGAGCAAAGCAAGGGCCCAAAGUGCCUGGUGAGCCUUUCACUAGGAAUUGCUUCAACCAGUCUGGAGUCCCACACACGAAGGCAAGGACAACCCAGGACUGUGUCAUGCCAGGCAAGGGAGUGGGGGGAAAAGGGAGAGAAACGUGCUGGGCAGGAGGGACAACUCUUCCAUGAGGCCCUGGGGAUGAGCUUGGAAAGGUGGCAAGUCCCAGCUUGCUCCUCCUGCCAGAAACUCCUAUUCCUGCUGCCCUCCCACGCCCUGUGCUCCUGGUGUGACCUUCCUCCCAGCCCAGCACCCCGCAGCCACUCCCAGGCAGCUCCCAAGGGGACCAGAGGGGCAGGGGAUGGAUGGGCUGAGCGAGCCUGGGGAAGGAGGAGGGCUCCAAGGGCUCAGGAAGCAUCCUGCAGAAGGGAGGGGAGGAAAGCCAACCUUCCCACAGGGGAUGGGCUGCUCCUGGGGGACAGCAAACCCACGUGGCUCUGACUUCAUUUCACACCCGCACCUGGGGCAGGGGAAGUGCUCUCCAAAGUUAUGGAUGAAAAAGAUGUGAUUUAAAAAUAAAGAGUAGUCCUCUCCAAGACA